GUUUGUUCUAUGCAUGGCAAGUAAGAUAUUUACCCCCCACAUCAAACCUGAUUAAGAAAACCUGAUAAAAGUCGGUCUACAAAUGGUUGAUGGAGUGCCAAGUUGAGAAAAUGAAUUUAUCUGGCAACCCAAUAUGAUUACAUGUGUGCAUGUGUCCACUUUUUCAUGUCCACAUGGAUUUCUGGGGUGGAUUUUCUCUAGCUAGAUGCACUUCCUGUUGCCAACCCUCAUUUGUUUCUAUGACACUUACACUUUUACAUAAUAUCAAGACAAAGAGGUACUAACACACACACACUCACAUUUAUGUACAAUGGGCUUCUUUCAGUUUCCGUCUACCAAAUCCAUGCACAAGGCUUUAGUUGGCCCAGGAUUAUAGUGGAAAACACUAGCCCAAGCCUGAUACCCUUCUUGACACUAAACCUUGAUUGUGUUUUAAGUAAAGGACCUCUUAAUUCACAAAACUUCAAUGGUAGGAAGCGAGUGGGCAGUUUAUUGGCAGGAAAACACUUCAGGAACAAGAUGAGUGUCAUGGAAGCCAAUGCAGAUGUAGACGCACACACACACACAUAAAUGAUGGGCUUCUUUUUCAGUUUAUGUCAACCAAAGCCACACAAGACUUUGGUUUGUUUUGGACUACAACACAAGACACAAGACACAUUGCAAGGUGCAAUGCAGUGAGACUUAACCCGAAGCCCCAUGGUUCAGAAGCAAACUUCUUGAUGACACAGUAAUGCCUGUGUGUGCAUACACAGCGUAUAUGUGUGUAUAUAUAUAUAUAUAUAUAUACACACACACACACACAUAUAUAUCUUUUACUUGUUUCAGUCAUUAGACUGCAGCCAUGUUGGGGCAGUCUUGGAGAAUUUUUAGUCAAAUAAAUCAAUCCCAAUACUUUA